GAUGAACGCUGGCGGCGUGCCUAAUACAUGCAAGUCGAGCGAACAGAUGAGGAGCUUGCUCCUCUGACGUUAGCGGCGGACGGGUGAGUAACACGUGGAUAACCUACCUAUAAGACUGGGAUAACUUCGGGAAACCGGAGCUAAUACCGGAUAAUAUAUUGAACCGCAUGGUUCAAUAGUGAAAGACGGUUUUGCUGUCACUUAUAGAUGGAUCCGCGCCGCAUUAGCUAGUUGGUAAGGUAACGGCUUACCAAGGCAACGAUGCGUAGCCGACCUGAGAGGGUGAUCGGCCACACUGGAACUGAGACACGGUCCAGACUCCUACGGGAGGCAGCAGUAGGGAAUCUUCCGCAAUGGGCGAAGGCCUGACGGAGCAACGCCGCGUGAGUGAUGAAGGUCUUCGGAUCGUAAAACUCUGUUAUUAGGGAAGAACAAAUGUGUAAGUAACUACGCACGUCUUGACGGUACCUAAUCAGAAAGCCACGGCUAACUACGUG
rnacentral:rRNA from 1 species